rnacentral:lncRNA from 1 species
AUUUGAGGUCCACCGUCACCCCUUCCUGGGUUGCUAUCUAUUGCAAGGCCAACCAAUAUCCACGCCCUCGGGGAGAACCCCUCUGCCAGGGUUUGGAAAGAGUUUGUGGUUUCCUGGAAAGGAAUUGUUUUCACUGAAGAGUAGAUUAAAAGCCAACAUCUGUUCUGCAAGGUGAGAACCUACACUCUUAAACAUGUUAGGCUUUGCCACAGAAAUGAUUGUAACGCACACCUUGGGACCUAGCAACUUUCUCUUUUCUUUUCUUUUCUU